rnacentral:rRNA from 1 species
UGAUCCUGGCUCAGGAUGAACGCUAGCGGCAGGCCUAACACAUGCAAGUCGAACGGUAACAUAGAUUGCUUGCAAUCUGAUGACGAGUGGCGCACGGGUGCGUAACGCGUAUGCAAUCUACCUUUUACAGGAGAAUAGCCCAGAGAAAUUUGGAAUAAUGCUCCAUAAUAUCAUUUAUCAGCAUUGGUUUAUGAUUAAAGCUCCGGCGGUAAAAGAUGAGCAUGCGUUCUAUUAGCUAGUAGGUGAGGUAACGGCUCACCUAGGCUACGAUAGAUAGGGGCCCUGAGAGGGGGAUCCCCCACACUGGUACUGAGACACGGACCAGACUCCUACGGGAGGCAGCAGUGAGGAAUAUUGGACAAUGGAGGAAACUCUGAUCCAGCCAUGCCGCGUGCAGGAUGACUGCCCUAUGGGUUGUAAACUGCUUUUAUAUAGGAAGAAACACUCCCACGUGUGGGGGCUUGACGGUACUAUAUGAAUAAGGAUCGGCUAACUCCGUGCCAGCAGCCGCGGUAAUACGGAGGAUCCAAGCGUUAUCCGGAAUCAUUGGGUUUAAAGGGUCCGCAGGCGGCCUGUUAAGUCAGAGGUGAAAUCCUACAGCUCAACUGUAGAACUGCCUUUGAUACUGAGAGGCUUGAGUUAUUGUGAAGUGGUUAGAAUGUGUGGUAUAGCGGUGAAAUGCUUAGAUAUCACACAGAAUACCCAUUGCGAAGGCAGAUCACUAACAAUAUACUGACGCUCAUGGACGAAAGCGUGGGGAGCGAACGGGAUUAGAUACCCCGGUAGU